rnacentral:rRNA from 1 species
UUGCUCCCGGAUGUUAGCGGCGGACGGGUGAGUAACACGUGGGUAACCUGCCUGUAAGACUGGGAUAACUCCGGGAAACCGGAGCUAAUACCGGAUAGUUCCUUGAACCGCAUGGUUCAAGGAUGAAAGACGGUUUCGGCUGUCACUUACAGAUGGACCCGCGGCGCAUUAGCUAGUUGGUGAGGUAACGGCUCACCAAGGCGACGAUGCGUAGCCGACCUGAGAGGGUGAUCGGCCACACUGGGACUGAGACACGGCCCAGACUCCUACGGGAGGCAGCAGUAGGGAAUCUUCCGCAAUGGACGAAAGUCUGACGGAGCAACGCCGCGUGAGUGAUGAAGGUUUUCGGAUCGUAAAGCUCUGUUGUUAGGGAAGAACAAGUGCAAGAGUAACUGCUUGCACCUUGACGGUACCUAACCAGAAAGCCACGGCUAACUACGUGCCAGCAGCCGCGGUAAUACGUAGGUGGCAAGCGUUGUCCGGAAUUAUUGGGCGUAAAGGGCUCGCAGGCGGUUUCUUAAGUCUGAUGUGAAAGCCCCCGGCUCAACCGGGGAGGGUCAUUGGAAACUGGGAAACUUGAGUGCAGAAGAGGAGAGUGGAAUUCCACGUGUAGCGGUGAAAUGCGUAGAGAUGUGGAGGAACACCAGUGGCGAAGGCGACUCUCUGGUCUGUAACUGACGCUGAGGAGCGAAAGCGUGGGGAGCGAACAGGAUUAGAUACCCUGGUAGUCCACGCCGUAAACGAUGAGUGCUAAGUGUUAGGGGGUUUCCGCCCCUUAGUGCUGCAGCUAACGCAUUAAGCACUCCGCCUGGGGAGUACGGUCGCAAGACUGAAACUCAAAGGAAUUGACGGGGGCCCGCACAAGCGGUGGAGCAUGUGGUUUAAUUCGAAGCAACGCGAAGAACCUUACCAGGUCUUGACAUCCUCUGACAACCCUAGAGAUAGGGCUUUCCCUUCGGGGACAGAGUGACAGGUGGUGCAUGGUUGUCGUCAGCUCGUGUCGUGAGAUGUUGGGUUAAGUCCCGCAACGAGCGCAACCCUUGAUCUUAGUUGCCAGCAUUCAGUUGGGCACUCUAAGGUGACUGCCGGUGACAAACCGGAGGAAGGUGGGGAUGACGUCAAAUCAUCAUGCCCCUUAUGACCUGGGCUACACACGUGCUACAAUGGACAGAACAAAGGGCUGCGAGACCGCAAGGUUUAGCCAAUCCCACAAAUCUGUUCUCAGUUCGGAUCGCAGUCUGCAACUCGACUGCGUGAAGCUGGAAUCGCUAGUAAUCGCGGAUCAGCAUGCCGCGGUGAAUACGUUCCC